AUUGAACGCUGGCGGCAGGCCUAACACAUGCAAGUCGAGCGGAUGAAGGGAGCUUGCUCCUGGAUUCAGCGGCGGACGGGUGAGUAAUGCCUAGGAAUCUGCCUGGUAGUGGGGGAUAACGUCCGGAAACGGGCGCUAAUACCGCAUACGUCCUGAGGGAGAAAGUGGGGGAUCUUCGGACCUCACGCUAUCAGAUGAGCCUAGGUCGGAUUAGCUAGUUGGUGGGGUAAAGGCCUACCAAGGCGACGAUCCGUAACUGGUCUGAGAGGAUGAUCAGUCACACUGGAACUGAGACACGGUCCGGACUCCUACGGGAGGCAGCAGUGGGGAAUAUUGGACAAUAGGCGAAAGCCUGAUCCAGCCAUGCCGCGUGUGUGAAGAAGGUCUUCGGAUUGUAAAGCACUUUAAGUUGGGAGGAAGGGCAGUAAGUUAAUACCUUGCUGUUUUGACGUUACCAACAGAAUAAGCACCGGCUAACUUCGUG
rnacentral:rRNA from 1 species